UGAGGUGCGAAAGCGUGGGGAGCAAACGGGAUUAGAUACCCCGGUAGUCCACGCCGUAAACGAUGUCUACUAGCCGUUGGAGGACUUGAUCCUUUAGUGGCGCAGCUAACGCGAUAAGUAGACCGCCUGGGGGAGUACGGUCGCAAGAUUAAAACUCAAAUGAAUUGACGGGGGCCCGCACAAGCGGUGGAGCAUGUGGUUUAAUUCGAAGCAACGCGAAGAACCUUACCUACUCUUGACAUCCAGUGAACUUUUGAGAGAUCAAUUGGUGCCUUCGGGAACACUGAGACAGGUGCUGCAUGGCUGUCGUCAGCUCGUGUUGUGAAAUGUUGGGUUAAGUCCCGUAACGAGCGCAACCCUUGUCCUUAGUUACCAUCAUUAAGUUGGGGACUCUAAGGAGACUGCCGGUGGCAAACCGGAGGAAGGCGGGGACGACGUCAAGUCAUCAUGGCCCUUACGAGUAGGGCUACACACGUGCUACAAUGGCAUGUACAAAGGGUUGCCAAGCCGCGAGGUGGAGCUAAUCCCAUAAAGCAUGUCGUAGUCCGGAUUGG
rnacentral:rRNA from 1 species